CCCAACUUCCGGCGGCGGCGGCGGAGCCAUAUUCUCCUGCAAGCUGCAUAAGCUCAUUACCUGUUGCCUCAGUUGUACCAUGGCCUGACAGGGUUUGAAGUCGAGAGCUCCGACAUGGCUGGCCUGCUUGUAGGAGGAGGAAGAAGAUACGUAGAAUCGCCAUUAUCACUGAAGAAGAAGCUUUUUACACGUUGAAUCACUCCAAUGUCUUCCUCAAUCUACCACAAUGUUGAUUCAAAAUAUAAACUUUGAGCUUAAUUUCAUCUUAAUUCAAGGGUAAAAUUAAAAUCAGAAAUUGAUUAAUUAAUUACCCUAGCUGUGGUUCCCAGUUCAAGAACACCAUCCAAGACAGGAACACAAACCACCGUCUGAAAAAACAGCAAAUGGGAUUGGAAAGCAGACACAAGAAAGAAGACAAGAAAUAUAAGAUCCAUUAUAUGGUAAUAUCAGAAAAAGC